AAAUGUUUCACUUUGGCCUUUGGCUCAAGAUGCUGCACAGAGCAUGCCAUGGGGAAGCAGCACUGCACCCGGGACCUUGGCACAGGAGCAGCCAGCGAAACUGUCCACAAAGCUAUGAAAAAUCCCGGGGAGACGAGUUCAGAGUUGUCGCGAUGCAACGAUGCCACCCUUACAGACUGGGAAGGAAAAAUGGGAUAUCCUGGUGAUGGGAUGAGAUGCAGAAACACCACCAGUGCCUAGGACAUAAAGUGAAGGCUGUUAAAGACUGUAACUAAGGAUGCCAGGAUCUGCAUUUGGGAUUGAGUGUUUAUGAUGGGCCACAUCUCUCUUUGAGGCAAGAGUCAAGCGGCAGCAGACUUCUCAAGAGACACGGAGAGAAGGCUUGUCAUCAAGGGCCUCUUAGGUGUAAGUGACCUGGACUCAAUCCAUCCUGACUUCCAUCAUCAAGGAUAUGUGGGAGGAUACUUACAUCAGUUCAUUUUUUACACCCUUUGUUUCUUGCUACUCAUCUCACUGUCUGAAAUGCAGUUUGAACAGGUACUGCUGUGAGUACCAAAGCUGCCUUGUGCUAUAAGGACAUGGGGAUCUUUGGUUACAGAAGUAUUUACUGGAAUGGCUUUUCUGUUUUUUUCACUGCCUCCAUCCUUUUUCCUCCCACAUACGUAGACAUUUAGAGAACUGUUUGUUGAAUUAAUCUCACUGAAGUAUGAGAUACACAUUCAUGUAGAGGAUGGGAGCAAUUUGGCCAUUGCAGUAGGCUUCACUUCUACAUCCUGGGCAGGAAGCAAUGUUGCAUAGGCCACUGGAGACACACCUCUUGAAAGACUUCAGAGCCAUCUUGGCAUCACUAGCAUCUUCAAGUAUCAAAUGUUUUAGAUUACAAAUAUGUCCCUGGAAAUAAUAAGUAUAGGUGUUGAGUGUCAAAUUGUGCAUGGCAAUGACUAUAACUGCAGUAUUUUAUUUUCAGCAAGCUUAUGUGGCCAGAAAAAAAUCUUUUAGCAUGUUCUCUAGUAGCAGCUUCCUCACCCUUCAUUUCAAAACUGAUAAAUCUGUGGGAUAACGAGGCUUCAAAAUCCUUCUUGAGGAGCUGUAUCAGCAGCCAACACAAAGUGAGAUGGAAGGCAGCAGCCAAUGUAAGUAAUGAUCUGGAUCUUUCCCUGUCUGCUUUGCAAAGAAGUCCUGUUGCUAAAGUAGAAUUGAAGAUUACAGGCAGGUAAAUUUGUAAUUUUUUCUGCUUUUCCCCUAAAGCUAUUGCCCUAAGAUGGUGUCAGGAUAGUCUCCUGUGCUCUCGUGUAUCUAAAACUGUAGCAAGUUAAUUCAGUGCUCACUCCAGGCACUUCUCAUUAGGCGGUAGUCCUCGUAUCUGCAGUUCUUACCAUCACUAAGCCAAAUAUAGAAACGUUCCUGAGGGAUGACUGUUUCCCUAAGCAAAAGACUAACCAAAAAUGUAGUUUCACGUGGAUGUGUAUUGGGAACAAUUGGUCUCACCAUAUAACUGGCCUCUGAUUAAUUAAUAACUACUCUCUGGAACUGGACACUUAUAAACAGGAAGCAGAAAGCCAAACAGUUCAGUCCAUCUGUGCUAACGUUUGCUUGAGAGCUUGGCUCCUCUUACUACAGGGUCAUGGCUUUUCCUGGGGCACAGAAAAGGGAUAAAAGGAGCCUGUUAUAAAAAGUUUAGCUCUCAUCACAUGAUCCAGAAGCCCCGCUGUGAAUGAAAGGGAAUAGGGGAUGUGUUGUACAUCAGCCCUUAAAGCUCUCUAUAGGUUUCUCCAAGCCAGCUCUGCCAAUUGGAAGUAUUUCAUGGAGUUCUUUUGUUAAGCAUUUUUUUUUCUUGCCUACCCUCAUCCUCUGUAUUACUGACAUCUGAGGAGAGUAAAUACUGCUCACUUACAGUUUUCUUUCCUUUCUCAUGCUAACACUUUUUGUGAUCAAUGAAAGCUGAUGAUGGUGGAAUUGCAGUUAUUUAUGCUCUGUUUAAUUUGCUGUUACUGGAGCUGGUUGAGAACAUCUAACGAACGAAUUUUGGAAAAUGGAAACUUAGUAUAAGGGAUAUGCUUCAAAAAGAACAGCUUUGACUUAAAAUUAAUAAAUAAAUCAAAGAAUGCUUC
ensembl:lncRNA